CCUACGGGAGGCAGCAGUGGGGAAUUUUGGACAAUGGGCGCAAGCCUGAUCCAGCAAUGCCGCGUGAGUGAAGAAGGCCUUCGGGUUGUAAGAGCUCUUUUGUCCAGGGAAGAAAACCGGUGGGAGCUAAUAUCUUCUCUGCUAAUGACGGUACCUGAAGAAUAAGCACCGGCUAACUAC
rnacentral:rRNA from 1 species